UAUACAAAAUGAAAUAUGUAGGAAUUUUCGAAAAUAAUUUUCUCUUCUAGCGAUAAGAAGAAAUUAAAACCGUUGUACAAUUUGCAGCUCGCUGAACGCGCUCAUAUCGGGGAAAAUUUCGAAGCCAAAGCGAUUAUUGAAAAAAUUUUGAACGAUGCUUUCAUAUUUCAUUGUGACACCACUCGUUUCUCACCGAUUUCCCACGAAGAGGGAGAACAAUCGAUUUUAGAGAGGCGGAACCAUAAUCCGUAAGGACAAAUAAUGACAAAGGGUCAAGAUCGUUCUCAAAACAACAUAAAACGACCUAUGAAGUGUCAAUGGAAGCUGUCAUCGUUUACAAGGUUGGAAAAAUAAACAAACCUCUGCUGACCUAGACGGAAUAUUCCGGACGAAUUAUAUCGGUCGGAGUUGAGUUAGAAGAACAACAAAAUCUAAAAGAGCAACAACAGAAAGAGAUGAUACUUAGAGGAAACACGAACGUUUUCACGAAGAUGCUACUCACCUAAUUCCGUCAGCGAUGACCUACGUUUGGAAAAUUGGAGAAACGCCAGGAGGUUCCUACCGAAGGAAGAUUCAAAGGGAUGACAUUGUUCGGAGUAAAUUCGAAGAAAAGGAAGAAAAACAGGCGCCGAAAUGGAAAGGGACCGCAUAUAAGUCGUUAAAAUCGUCCGAUGCGAUGAAAACUGACAAGAAUAGAAAUCUUGAAAAUCGAGCGAUUACUUCGGAUUUAAAAAGAAUAGAACUCUUGAAAAUCGAACGAUUAGUUCAAAUUUCUUACUAAAUUUACGGCCGUAAUGACAAUUUAAAUCACACCAAGCGGAUUCUGCAGUCAUUACUUACGAUAAGUCGACGAUAUUUUAUAAUCACAGCCUCGUGAUUUUUUCAUCAGAAUUCUUUCACCAAGUACUUCGAUUAAGUUGAAAAAAUUAGAUCUUUUCUCGAAAGUAUCUAUUCAUAUAAAAAAUAAUAUAACAGUAAUCUAUUCGCUGGAGUUAUUAACAUUAUGUACCAUUUUUGUGCAUAUAAUUUUCUUUAAUAAGAAAAGUUUCAGCUAUAUAGGAGACGAGAAAUUGCAGAGAAAAUUAAGAACUUCAUCUCAUUCUCCCUAUUUCACCAAGAAGGAAAAUUGAAAAUUGAUCCUAUCGUAAAGGAAAGAAAAAUUCACAAUCGGGUGUAUUGUAAUCCAGGAAACAUGUUGUGAGAUUCAAGUCGAAAAAUGAAGGGAGAGAGAGAGAGAGAGAAAGAGGAAGAGGGAGGAAGGAAUAGAACGAAUAAAGAGAAGAGUGAAUUUCCAUUGGUAACGAGAAAAGCCCUUGCACAAAGUUAGGAUCAUAAUCGAGGGACGGUCUUAGUGCUAUACAACUGGGUCACUCUAGUCGAAGUAACUUAUACAUACAUUCCCACGUAUCUACAUCGUAACGUCCACCAAAACUUUCCGACGGUCACUGUAUAUACUUGCUAGUAAUAAUUAUUAUCACAAAUAAAUAUCUCGAGCUAAUGAAACGACUGAAUAUUUUAAUUAUCAAGAAAAAGAUCUCUCUCCUUCAAUUCGAACGACAACUAUUACAAUAAUAGUCAUGCUUCGUAUUUGAAGUGUGGUUCGUAAUAUGACGAUCGACGAACAUUUAAUGAGUAUUUUACUUCCUUACAGUAUGAGGAAGUUCAACUUCG